rnacentral:rRNA from 1 species
CCUGAUCAGCCUGCCGCGUGUGUGAUGAAGGUCUUCGGAUUGUAAAGCACUUUAAGUUGGGAGGAAGGGCAUUAAGUUAAUACCUUGCUGUUUUGACGUUACCAACAGAAUAAGCACCGGCUAACUUCGUGCCAGCAGCCGCGGUAAUAA